rnacentral:rRNA from 1 species
AACGAACGCUGGCGGCAUGCCUAACACAUGCAAGUCGAACGAGACCUUCGGGUCUAGUGGCGCACGGGUGCGUAACGCGUGGGAACCUGCCUUUAGGUUCGGAAUAACUCAGAGAAAUUUGAGCUAAUACCGGAUGAUGUCUUCGGACCAAAGAUUUAUCGCCUUUAGAUGGGCCCGCGUUGGAUUAGCUAGUUGGUGGGGUAAAGGCCUACCAAGGCGACGAUCCAUAGCUGGUCUGAGAGGAUGAUCAGCCACACUGGGACUGAGACACGGCCCAGACUCCUACGGGAGGCAGCAGUGGGGAAUAUUGGACAAUGGGCGAAAGCCUGAUCCAGCAAUGCCUCGUGAGUGAUGAAGGCCUUAGAGUUGUAAAGCUCUUUUACCCGAGAUGAUAAUGACAGUACCGGGAGAAUAAGCUCCGGCUAACUCCGUG